ensembl:lncRNA
ACAGACAGACAGACAGACACGCAGACAGGCAGACAGACAGGCAGACAGGGCAGACACACAGACAGGCAGACACGCAGGCAGGUAGACACGCAGAGGCAGACACGCAGACAGGCAGACACGCAGGCAGGUAGACACGCAGACAGGCAGACACGCAGACAGGCAGACACGCAGACAGGUAGACAGGCAGACACGCAGACAAGCAGACACGCAGACAGGUAGACAGGCAGACAGCCGGACACGCGGACAGGUAGACAGGCGGGCACGGAGACUGACGGACACGCAGACACACAGACAGGCCUCCAGAGUGGCGCCGUGGUCUAAGGCACUGCAUCACAGUGCUAGCUGUGUCACUAGAGAUUCUGGGUUCCAGUCCAGGCUCUGUUGCAGCUGGCCGGCAGGGAUGUCCUUGUUCCAUAGCGCACUAGCGACUCCUGGGUGCAGUGCAUGGUCGCCAGGUGUACAUUGUUUCCUCCAACACAUUGGUGCGGCUGGCUUCCGGGUUAAGUGGGCAUUGUGUCAAGAAGCAGUGCGGCUUGGUUGGGUUGUGUUUCGGAGGACGCACGGCUCUCGACCUUCACCUCACCCGAGUCCGUAUGGGAGUUGCAGCGAUGAGACAAGACUGUAACUACCAAUUGGAUACCACGAAAAGGGGGUAAAAAAUAUAUAUGUUAAAAGGCAGGCAGAUAGAUGGACAGGCAGGCGGGCAGGCAGGUAGACAUUCAUCAUAUAUGGCUUCCUCUAUGUAUUAACUGCAUGUUUCUAUAGCAGACCACAGACAGACAGGCAGGCAGACAGACAGGCAGACAGAUAGGCAGACAGACAGACAGGCAGACAGAUAGGCAGACAGAUAGGCAGAUAGAUGGAUGGACAGAUGGAGAGGAAGAUAUGCAGACAGGCAGAUAAACGAACAGACAGACGGACGGACGGGCAGGCAGGCAGAUAGAUGGACAGACAGAUAGACAGGCAGACAGGCAGAUAUGCAGACAGACAGGAAAAAUUUCAGGCAGACAGACAGAGACAGACAGACAGAUUCUUCUUGGACCUCGCUCAUCAACAAACUGUUUUCUGAGAUACUGAAUUUGGCGCGCUUGGCACAUAGUUUUGCCCAUUCUAACAUUCAGUUGAACAGUAACUGAAUGCCUCGAUGCCUGCUUUAUAUAGCAAGACACAGCCACACAACUCACUGUCUGUAACCCAGUUUUGUGAAAUGGGCGGCGGACCUAAUAAACUGGCCGGAGAGUGUAUAUCAUCGAUACAUGAAUAUAACAGUAUAUAUAGCAUGUUAACAUGGGGAUAUAUACAGUAUCAUCUAUACAUGAAGAUAACAGUAUACAGUAUAUGGGUCGAGUGUUGGUUUCUUGAGGAGAGGAGCGACUCGGGCCAUCUUGAAGUCAGUGGUCAGGGAUGAGUUGAUGAGUGAAGUGAGGAAGGGGAGGUCACCAG